GACGGAGGAUGCAAGUGUUAUCCGGAAUCACUGGGCGUAAAGCGUCUGUAGGUGGUUAAAUAAGUCAACUGUUAAAUCUUGAGGCUCAACUUCAAAAUCGCAGUCGAAACUAUUCGACUAGAGUAUAGUAGGGGUAAAGGGAAUUUCCAGUGGAGCGGUGAAAUGCGUAGAGAUUGGAAAGAACACCGAUGGCGAAGGCACUUUACUGGGCUAUUACUAACACUGAGAGACGAAAGCUAGGGUAGCAAAUGGG
rnacentral:rRNA from 1 species